rnacentral:rRNA from 1 species
UUGGAGGGCAAGUCUGGUGCCAGCAGCCGCGGUAAUUCCAGCUCCAAUAGCGUAUAUUAAAGUUGUUGCAGUUAAAAAGCUCGUAGUUGAAUUUCGGGGUUCUACCGUUGGUCGGGCUAUUGUCUGUACUGGCGUGUAGAAUUUCUACCUUCUGGGGAACUAUCAUGUUAUUAAUUUAGCGUGGUAGGAAACCAGGACCUUUACCUUGAAAAAAUUAGAGUGUUCAAAGCAGGCUUAUGUCUGAAUACAUUAGCAUGGAAUAAUAAAAUAGGACGGUGGUCCUGUUUUGUUGGUUUCUGAAUCACCGUAAUGAUUAAUAGGGAUAGUUGGGGGCAUUAGUAUUCAAUUGUCAGAGGUGAAAUUCUUGGAUUUAUUGAAGACUAACUACUGCGAAAGCAUUUGCCAAGGAUGUCUUCAUUAAUCAAGAACGAAAGUUAGGGGAUCGAAGACGAUCAGAUACCGUCGUAGUCUUAACCAUAAACUAUGUCGACUAGGGAUCGGACGAUGUUAACUUUUCUUGACUCGUUCGGCGCCUUACGGGAAA